UGAUAUAUAUCGAUUAUUACGAAGACGAUAGCCACAUAAAAUAUUCGAGUUGACUGUAAAUAUUUGGCCGACAUAACACAAGCGAACAAUGAAACUAAUACACCUAUAUAACCCAAGACAAAAUAGGCAGUAGAACCAGAGAGCACAGUCAAUAACAUCCUUAGGAACGAGACGCUUUAGUAAGCACACGAAUCCUAUCAUCAAUAUCCGUCAAAUUUUGCUUAACCAAUCGACCCACCUCAUUCAAAUCCAUCGUAUUCAAACUCUGCAAUAUCCCAUUUCCACUCAGGCUUUCGAACAUGACUUUGUUCAACUCCUUCCGGGGCAGCUGCUUGAACUCGGACAGCAAGCGUCGGGCAUCCUCGAGGGACGGCCAUACCUCCGCUUGAGAGCCGAAAUCAGGGGAGUUGAUAAUAGCAAAAGCUUCAAUCCCACAAAGGGUAUGAGUUCACGCACCUUCUUCACCAGACCCUUGCUUCUUUUCUUGUAGGUAGUUUUCCUUGCUGAAUCAUUGGUAAUGUAGGCAAGCUUUAUUUUCUUUCUAGACAUGGAGAAUUGAAGGCUUAGUUUCUAUGGAUUUGAUUGCAUGUUACCCCAACAGUGUGUGUGCUUAUAUAUGGAUAUUAGAGGCUGGUAGAGAAGAAAGGAUGCCCCUCUUGUGUUUAAUUAUUAGUUUGAAUUUUUAUGUAACCUUCUAUCUUGUUUUUUAUCAAUAUAUUUACAAAAUCAUUUUAUAAAUUUCUCCAA